UACGGAGGUGGCAAGCGUUGUUCGGAAUUACUGGGCGUAAAGGGCGCGUAGGCGGCAAGGCAAGUCAGGUGUGGAAAGCCCGAAGCCUUAACUCGGGUAAUUGCAUCUGAAACUGCUGUGCUUGAGUCCUGGAGGGGUAGUGGAAGUUCCCAGUGUAGCGGUGAAAUGACGUAGAUAGUUGGGAGGAACGACCUGCGGCAGAAGGCGGCUAC
rnacentral:rRNA from 1 species